CUAUUCUGUUACAAUAUCGUAAAAGCACCAGAUCCUGUCUGAUCUUGGAUGCUAAACAUGGUCAGCCCUGGUUUAGUACUUGGAUGAGAAACCACCAAGGAACACCAGAUGCUGUAGGCU
rnacentral:rRNA from 1 species